GACAGAGGUGCCAAGCGUUAGGCGGAAUCACUGGGCUUAAAGCGUGUGUAGGCGGAUGUCUAAGUACCUUGUGAAAUCCCACGGCUCAACCGUGGAACUGCUUGGUAUACUGGAUGUCUUGAGCCAGCUAGGGGCAACCGGAACAAAUGGUGGAGCGGUGAAAUGCGUAGAUAUCAUUUGGAACGCCAAUGGUGAAAACAGGUUGCUGGGGCUGUGCUGACGCUGAGACACGAAAGCCAGGGGAGCGAACGGG
rnacentral:rRNA from 1 species